UCUCGAUAGCGUAAAAGUUAAGACAAAUUUGUAUGGAGUUGGAGCGUUUGCUAUGUUUGCGGGUAGGGGCACUGUUCCAGCUGCAUACAAAUUUGACUUAACUUUUACGCUAUCGA
rnacentral:pre_miRNA from 9 species